rnacentral:RNase_P_RNA from 1 species
GAGGAAAGUCCGGGCUCCAUAGGGCAGGGUGCCAGGUAACGCCUGGGAGGCGCAAGCCUACGACUAGUGCAACAGAGAGCAAACCGCCGAUGGCCCGCGCAAGCGGGAUCAGGUAAGGGUGAAAGGGUGCGGUAAGAGCGCACCGCGCGGCUGGCAACAGUCCGUGGCACGGUAAACUCCACCCGGAGCAAGGCCAAAUAGGGGUUCGCAUGGUACGGCCCGUACUGAACCCGGGUAGGCUGCUUGAGCCAGUGAGCGAUUGCUGGCCUAGAGGAAUGACUGUCCACGACAGAACCCGGCUUA